ACAGGUAAGGGUGAAACGGCGAGGUAAGAGCUCACCGCGUCCACGGUAACGGCGGACGGCACGGUAAACCCCAUCCGGAGCAAGACCAAAUAGGGAAGCAUCAGGCGUGGCCCGCGCUGCUUCCGGGUAGGUUGCUUGAGCCUGUCGGUGACGGCAGGCCUAGAGGAAUGAUUGCCGAACCUCGCGAGAGGGGAACAGAACCCGGCUUAUCGGCCGGCUUUCCAC
rnacentral:RNase_P_RNA from 1 species